ACCCGCUGAACUUAAGCAUAUCAAUAAGCGGAGGAAAAGAAACCAACAGGGAUUGCCUUAGUAACGGCGAGUGAAGCGGCAAAAGCUCAAAUUUGAAAUCUGGCACCUUCGGUGUCCGAGUUGUAAUUUGAAGAAGGUAACUUUGGAGUUGGCUCUUGUCUAUGUUCCUUGGAACAGGACGUCACAGAGGGUGAGAAUCCCGUGCGAUGAGAUGCCCAAUUCUAUGUAAAGUGCUUUCGAAGAGUCGAGUUGUUUGGGAAUGCAGCUCUAAGUGGGUGGUAAAUUCCAUCUAAAGCUAAAUAUUGGCGAGAGACCGAUAGCGAACAAGUACAGUGAUGGAAAGAUGAAAAGAACUUUGAAAAGAGAGUGAAAAAGUACGUGAAAUUGUUGAAAGGGAAGGGCUUGAGAUCAGACUUGGUAUUUUGCGAUCCUUUCCUUCUUGGUUGGGUUCCUCGCAGCUUACUGGGCCAGCAUCGGUUUGGAUGGUAGGAUAAUGACUAAGGAAUGUGGCUCUACUUCGGUGGAGUGUUAUAGCCUUGGUUGAUACUGCCUGUCUAGACCGAGGACUGCGUCUUUUGACUAGGAUGUUGGCAUAAUGAUCUUAAGCCACCCGUCUUGAAACACGGACCAAGGAG
rnacentral:rRNA from 2 species